GUCUUUUUGCAUUUUAUAUAAAGUCUAGCCUGCCCACUGAAAUUUUAAAGGCCGCAGUACACUGACUGUGCAAAGGUAGCAUAAUAAUUAGUCUUUUAAUUGAAGGCUGGAAUGAAUGGUUGGACGUGAUAUUAACUGUUUCAUAAGAAAUUUUUAUAGAAUUUUAUUUUUUAGUAAAAAAGCUAAAAUAUAUUUAAAAGACGAGAAGACCCUAUAAAGCUUUAUAUCUUAAAAUAAUCUAAAGGUUAAGGUUUAUUUAUAUAUUUUAUUUUAAGAUAUUUUAUUGGGGUGAUAUUAAAAUUUAAGAAACUUUUAAUUCUUAAAAUCAUUAAUUUAUGAAAUAUUGAUCCACACAUAGUGAUUAAAAAUUUAAGUUACUUUAGGGAUAACAGCGUAAUUUUUUUGGAGAGUUCAUAUCGAUAAAAAAGAUUGCGACCUCGAUGUUGGAUUAAGGAAUAUUUUAGGUGUAGCUGCUUAAUAAAUAAAGUCUGUUCGACUUUUAAAUCCUU
rnacentral:rRNA from 1 species